AGAUAUUUGACUACGUAGUUUAGUGUGAACAUUUUGUGCACAUAGAGGCGCUUGUCUACGAAUUCUGUAGGUAAUUGCGAUUCCGUGGUUUUCUUCCGUCCUAAAUCAGAAGUAAGGUAAGGUUAAGUGGAUAAAAACAAUCAAUCGGAGAGUUUGUUUUAUAUAUAACGCGAUCUAUUGGACAUGGUUAGUUAAAUUCGGGUUAAAUUAAGUUGUGGAAUUAUCUCAAUUCUUCAAGGAUGUAAGAUGCCACGGAUAUCGAAAGUCCACACGAUCGUCUUGUAGGAUGAUCAAGAAUAUAACCAAAAAAUGCGUAGAAGAAGGAAGGAAGUACCCGGAAGUAGAGAGAAACAGGGCAAUGGCGAUGCAUCGGCCGCUUACUUUUGGACUUGGAUUUUUUAAAUAAUUUGCAUCAGUUUUCAGCACAAAAGGUUUGGUAAUUUUAUAUACAUAUUUAAACAUAUACGUGCGUAUAUUAAAAUAUAUAUUAUAUAAAUUGUAUAGAUAAUUAAAUAUAUAUGUGUGUGUGUUUA
rnacentral:misc_RNA from 1 species